ensembl:snRNA U2 U2 spliceosomal RNA
AUUGCUUUUCAGCCUCUCGGCUAAAAUCAAGUGUUUUAUCCGUUCUUAUCAGUUUAAUAUCUGAAACGUCCUCAAUCCAAGGACAGUAUANGGGCCUUUUCUGGUUCCAUACAAAUUUAAGGACUAUUUGUUCCAGUUCUUUGAAAAAUGUCCUCGGUAUUUUGAUCGGGAUAGCAUUGAAAGUGU